rnacentral:rRNA from 1 species
AGAGUUUGAUCAUGGCUCAGAUUGAACGCUGGCGGCAGGCUUAACACAUGCAAGUCGAACGGUAACAGAACUAGCUUGCUAGUUGCUGACGAGUGGCGGACGGGUGAGUAACGCGUAGGAAUCUACCGAAUAGUGGGGGACAACAGUUGGAAACGGCUGCUAAUACCGCAUACGCCCUACGGGGGAAAGGAGGGGAUCUUCGGACCUUUCGCUAUUUGAUGAGCCUGCGUGAGAUUAGUUAGUUGGUGGGGUAAUGGCUCACCAAGGCGACGAUCUCUAGCUGGUCUGAGAGGAUGAUCAGCCACACUGGGACUGAGACACGGCCCAGACUCCUACGGGAGGCAGCAGUGGGGAAUAUUGCACAAUGGGGGAAACCCUGAUGCAGCCAUGCCGCGUGUGUGAAGAAGGCCUUCGGGUUGUAAAGCACUUUCAGUUGUGAGG